GUCACUUCCGCAACGUCCCUCCGCAGAUCCAGCCGCCCGGCCGCACAGCAUCGCACAGUGCCAGGUUCUCCAAUGCUGCAGAAGGUUCCCUCCGGUCUCAGGGUCCGGGGCCAUUGUAACCUCUGAACCCCCUAUAGGCAAGAAGAGGAUUCCAGUGCUUUCACUUAUGGUAUUAAAAGGGUAACUUCUUUAUUCACAACUUCAAAACAGCGUAGAACACAGCACAGAAGACAGGAUCAAGGACAUUUGCUCAGUGACUGACUGGAAUUAAAUGGAUGCGUAAAACUAUGAAUUCCCCAGAGAGGACAAAGUGAAUCUCCUAUAGUAGUCGCUGACCUUCUAACACCCCGGGACAGCGCUGGGCGAGUCUGAGGAGAGGGCUGAUACCUGCGAGACAGCCGGGCCAUUUGCAGGGAUGAUUUUGAAGCUAUAAAUUUAAGUGCAUUAAAUAAGAGGUCUCAGGCCCUGGGCGUGUAACCCUAUUACUAAG